rnacentral:rRNA from 1 species
CACGUAGGGGGCAAGCGUUGUCCGGAUUUAUUGGGCGUAAAGAGCUCGUAGGCGGUUCGGUAAGUCGGGUGUGAAACCUCCAGGCUCAACCUGGAGUCGCCACUCGAUACUGCUGUGACUAGAGUCCGGUAGGGGAGCGUGGAAUUCCUGGUGUAGCGGUGAAAUGCGCAGAUAUCAGGAGGAACACCGGUGGCGAAGGCGGGUCUCUGGGCCGAUACUGACGCUGAGGAGCGAAAGCGUGGGGAGCGAACAGG